AGCUUGCAUUUCUCCAUGGCCUUCAGCAUACAGCUCCAGCUCUAGAUCUGCUAAUUAACUGGAGGAAUUACACGAGGCUUGAGCUUUUGCAAGAACAGCCCCUUGUUAGAAGGCACCUUGCCCAAAGAGGGAAAGAAACAACAUAUUAACGACACCGUGAAGACACAUGCAGGCCUGCCUGAAAUAAAGAAGUGAACUGGGCCACUGAAACUGCUACCUUUAUCAGACUGCGGUCCCUAUUAAACCAAAACUUAAGAGAAAACUCCCCAAAUCCGAUCUCAUUGUUUAGUACUGUACCUUGAUGACUGGUCUAUAAUUUAUCUUUACCUGGCAUUCUCCUGCAGGCUCUCUAUUCAGGAUUUCUCCAGGUUAGCACUGAUCGAUCUACUGACUUGCAGUUGACUUUGUAGAUCGAUGUGCCCAGAGGCCAUAAGGCAAUGAAGUGGGUCUUCAAUAUAUCUUACUCUUUCCAUUUUCUGAGCUGCAUUUGCCUUAGAAACUGAACCACGGACCACCAGUGAGGAUAACUGCAUCUCCAGAUGUUCUCUAAGGAAGUCUGAUACUGAGAACACCAACAUGAAUCUGUGUGUGUGUACACAUCUGUACACACAU